rnacentral:rRNA from 1 species
CACGUAGGGGGCGAGCGUUGUCCGGAAUCAUUGGGCGUAAAGAGCUCGUAGGCGGCUCAGUAAGUCGGGUGUGAAACCCUCAGGCUCAACCUGGGGACGCCACCCGAUACUGCUGUGGCUAGAGUCCAGUAGGGGAGUGUGGAAUUCCCGGUGUAGCGGUGAAAUGCGCAGAUAUCGGGAGGAACACCAGCGGCGAAGGCGGCAUCCUGGACCGAGAUUGACGCUGAGGCGCGAAAGCCAGGGGAGCAAACGGG